rfam:Triticum aestivum genome assembly, contig: Triticum_aestivum_CS42_TGACv1_scaffold_513180_6BS
GAGAGCACAGUACGAUGAAAGUUGUAAGCUGUGUUCGGGGGGAGUUAUUGUCUAUCGUUGGCCUCUAUGGUAGAACCCGUCGGGGAGGCCUGAGAGGCGGUGGUUUACCCUGU